rnacentral:rRNA from 1 species
UGGGGAAUAUUGGACAAUGGGGGAAAUCCUGAUCCAGCGACGCCGCGUGUGUGAAGAAGGCCUGCGGGUUGUAAAGCACUUUCGGUGGGGAAGAUAAUGACGGUACCUACAGAAGAAGCACCGGCUAACUCCGUGCCAGCAGCCGCGGUAAUACGGAGGGUGCGAGCGUUAAUCGGAAUUACUGGGCGUAAAGCGCGCGUAGGCGGCUUUGUAAGUCGGAUGUGAAAGCCCCGGGCUUAACCUGGGAAUUGCAUUCGAUACUGCAUAGCUAGAGUAUGGUAGAGGGUAGCGGAAUUCCGGGUGUAGCGGUGAAAUGCGUAGAUAUCCGGAGGAACACCAGUGGCGAAGGCGGCUACCUGGACCAAUACUGACGCUGAGGCGCGAAAGCGUGGGGAGCAAACAGGAUUAGAUACCCGGGUAGUCCCUGAGCGGGCUGGCAAGGCGCAU